AAAAUGCUAUGAUGAGAAAUCUAUGCACCACUCUGGAGAGAUUUAUCUUUUUGUGUUGAUAAACAAACUUAAAACCCAUUUUAUAUCUGAGUUG
rfam:Hordeum vulgare subsp. vulgare, WGS project CAJW01000000 data, contig: morex_contig_2549714